rnacentral:tRNA from 1 species
GCCCCUGUAGCUCAACUGGAUAGAGCAGACGGUUUCUACCCGUCAGGUUGCGGGUUCGACUCCUGCCGGGGGCACCA